UUUUCAGAGGCUGUGUAUCCUCUACUGAAAACUGUGGCAAUUUUGGGCACUCAUCUGCUGGCUGGUAAAUUAUUUCAAAAAAGAAGCCUCAAACCCUACUUUUCCUACCCCUAACUUUGCUCAGUUAUUCAGAGGGGACAAACUCUUUCCAAGGAGACAGAAAGGCAAAGAUACCUACAGGAGAUAUCUGGAAAGGAGCUAUGAGCAUCCCACCACGUUCCCUCAUCUCCAGCAGGAAGAGGGCAUCUUGUUUCUGAGGAGCGUGGUGACCCAGGAGUGGCAGAACACAUGGAUAUACUCCCUGCUUUGACAGGGGCAGGGAAAUGCAGUGGUGAGGACUCAUUCACUGAGAUCCUGACUGCCAGCCACAUCAUGCUGGAGGUGGGCAAGGACCUGGCUUGGGACCUGGCUUUGUAUCACAAGCUGAAGCUGACAGCUGGGUUUUCCCUUUCUGCAGAAGGAAAGAGAGAAGGGAAAAGGUGUUGUGUCAUCUGAGAGAGCAUCUCUGUCAUCUCCAGCUGGGAGUGGUGUCCUUUGGCUGCUGCCAGUGUGCUGCAAACCAGCACUAGAGAUAAAGAUUGCCAGAGAGGUAAUUUAUUAGCAAUACAUCCUCAAUCAGGCCUCAGUGAAAUAUCUCUGAGAACCAAGUUGCCUGAAUUCCUCUGUCUACAUGGACUGUUCCUGCUCUUUCCAGAACUGAUGUUGUCAGGGGGGUGCUGUGAAGCACCCUGCGCCUCCCAGGUCUUUAUGCUGAGAAUGGCAAUGAUUUAAUGAAGAGGUGCAAAUGGAUAAGGGGUGAGGAGCACCAGAGAGAGAAUGUGCUUGCCUGUGCAUGACCUGCCAUCACCCUGCAGAUGUUCUGUGGCCUCCAUGAGGUAAUGAGCUUGGGAAGCCUACUCCUCUGCAGCUUCUGCUUAGAAGUUCGAUGUCUGUCCCUGUGAACUCUAGGGAAUAAGCCACCUCCUGGUAACAGUGGCAUCUAACAGGUGCCUUGCCUGGGGAUAGCACCUAUCUACAAAAGGCAACAUGAAAAUAAAAGAAAAAUGCCAGUUUGUGAUGUAUCACUCAACUUCUUAAAACAUUGAACAAUAAUCAGCAGUGAUUCAAAGGGUGGUUUAGAAUUAUGCAAGGCUUUUCACAUCUCAUAUAUAUAAAAAGAUAAAUUAGCAAAAUAUACAUUAGAUAUUAUAAUUUAGUGUACGUACACAUUAUUAUACACAUAACACAUUCACACACGCAUUAGCAUUCUUGUUAAAAAUAUGUACAAACUUUUUAUUUAUAAAGAAUGGACACUAUAAUCAAAUGUCCAACCCUGAAAAAUCCACGUGCCAAGGGAAUGGCAAGUAAUCCCCCAUCCCUGUUCUAUGGCAGAUGGCUUUGAGGGACUACCAGAGGAACCUCAUGACAGUGAAUAAAACUGUGCAAAUUGUGAGUUUUCUUCCUUGGGGGAGUUUAAUUUGGAUUUUGAAUUGCUUACUUAAAGCACAGGGUCUUCAACACACCAUAUUUCUGGGUUUGUUUUACCAAUUCCUUUUGCUCCCUAUUCUGCAUUGCAAACCUUUUGUUUAGAACAGGUACUGAGGGCUACAGACAGCCUCUGUGGACAUCAAGCCAGUAAACUGGUAGCAGACAAAGGCACUGUCUUCUCCAGAAAUAGCAGCAAAGUGAGAACUGACUUUUCCUCUAAGCUUUUCAUCUUCUCCUGAAUUGGUUCCAGAUGCCAGGCUGGCUCCAAAUCAGGAUGCAGAAACUUCCAACUGGAAAAACAAGCAGAAAAGAACACUCUCAUAUCCUCACAUUCCCAGUCAACUCAUUAAUUCUUUUCUAUUGAUAAGCCACCCCCCAGCUGUGUGUAUCUUCUACCAGAGCCUGGGUGACUGUUUCAGACAUUGUCCUGCCCUUGCUGCAGGGACAGGCUUCUUGUAUUUUCAUUUCUUAUGAAAAAAAUGGUGUGCUCGAUUUGUAUUUCCCUUUUUGACCAAGAAAGCAUCUGAGAUGCAUUGUUCCAAUCUGCAAUUUUUAUUUAAACCCUUUAUUUUAAUGGAUACUCCGAUGUCAGUCUCUUUGAUCACUCAAUGCAUUUUACUGUUUCCUCUGGAUUUUGAACAUCUAUUUGUUGGAACUUAUAUGUGCAAGAACAAUUUUCAUUUUUUAUAUCACGAAGGUAUAGCUUCAGUUAUUAAUGGCUGAAGACUGAGGUUGUCUUUGUUAAUGAUGAUUAAGCCCUUACUUCAUGGGCUAUUUCAAUACUUUUAGAACAAAGAAGUGCUCAGUAUAGGAACUCUUCCUCUUGAACUAAACAGCAAAACAGCAAUCUGUUUCCAGAGGUGAGGUUUUAUCCAGAGUGGCAAAAGAGUACAAUGUUCUGGUCCUAAGAUAUAAGAAUAUAUUUCAUGCUAAAAUAUUUAAAGUUUAUGAUUACUUCAAUCAUAUUCUGUGGCUUCUGAUGAGGACUGAUGCCUUAAGUUUUAGCUUCCAUAUUUUUUAGAUUCUGUGCUGCCUAGGUGUGUAGCUCUGAAGUUCAUAUUGAGUUAGUAAGCUCUCUUCACAGAGUAGAUAGACAAAACAAUCCUUUUCCAGCUUGAGACCAAGGACAACCAUUACAAGCUUCAGGCCCAAAAAGCAUAAACAAUGGCAGAAUGAAGAGAGAAAACAUGAAGGAUGGGGCUUCACAACCUGAAGCUGUAACUGGACAAUUAACCCCAAUAUGCAAAUGGACCCAGACUUAUAAAAGUAUGAAACCUUGUGACUGGUCAUCCAUUUUGUGACCAUUUUAGGUCAAUUUUGGGUGGGGCCCUGGCCAGGCUCUUGUGCUGCACAAGGUGUAUCCUUUUAAGGCCUUUCAGAAAAUAUCUACUUUCUUCUCUUAGCUCUGUCUAGUCUCUGUUCCAGGCCAGCCUCUCAAGGCAUGAGAAGAACUAAAAUUUUACUUAAAAUAGGAAAUUACAAUAAGGGUUAGAUUAAUAUAUUUUUUGAGGGGGAUGUGUUCCAUCUGCAAAGGAAUCAGAGCUAGUGUUUGCAAGAGAUGCCAUCCAGCUCCCAUGGCAGCAAACAUGUCAGCUACCCAAAAGGUGCCUGCAUCAGCGGAAGUGGGAAACAUUGCAGGAUCCACAACACACUGAGGCCUGUAGCAAGAUGACUACAGUAGAUUGAGGAAUCUAACCUUGCAAUAUUUACUGGGUACAGCAUGAUAUAGAUGAGUUUUUUCCCUUCUUAACUUUAUUUUCCUUUUCUUUCCCCACUGUACCUUCAAGGCAUUUAGAAAUAACUUAAUGCUGAGAAUUUCUUAUGUUUUUGCUUAUACAAAAUAUGUCUUUAUAGCUUUUCUAUUGAAAAAAAUAACAUAAUCCAAGUGGUUUCAAAAUAACCCUGCAAUAUCUGUUC